AUGGCUUCACACAACCAUUAGUUACAAGUGAAAGAAAAGUUUUUGUAUUAUCAUUCAUAUUCUCUGAAAAACGGCCAAAGAAUCACAAAUUCUGCUAAGGUAUGUAAACUUCUGAGCACAACUGUAUCAGAAUAUUUCUAUGAACAGUC